rnacentral:misc_RNA from 1 species
GAUGAAGAACGCAGCGAAAUGCGAUAAGUAAUGCGAAUUGCAGAAUUUCCGUGAGUCAUCGAACCUUUGAACGCACAUUGCGCCCGCCAGCAUUCUGGCGGGCAUGCCUGUUCGAGCGUCAUUUCAACCCUCGACCUCCCUUUGGGGAAGUCGGCGUUGGGGACCGGCAGCACACCGCCGGCCCUGAAAUGGAGUGGCGGCCCGUCCGCGGCGACCUCUGCGUAGUAAACCAACUCGCACCGGAACCCCGACGUGGCCACGCCGUAAAACACCCAACUUCUGAACGUUGACCUCGAAUCAGGUAGGACUACCCGCUGAACUUAAGCAUAUCAAUAAGCGGAGGA